rnacentral:rRNA from 1 species
AGAGUUUGAUCAUGGCUCAGGAUGAACGCUAGCGGCAGGCCUAAUACAUGCAAGUCGAGGGAGAAGUUUGGUGCUUGCACUGAAUGGGAACCGGCGAACGGGUGCGUAACACGUAUGCAACCUACCUAUAACUGGGGAAUAGCCCGAAGAAAUUCGGAUUAAUACCCUAUAAUAUUUAGUCAUCGCAUGAUGAUUAUCUUAAAACUCCGGUGGUUAUAGAUGGGCAUGCGGCCUAUUAGUUUGUUGGUGAGGUAAUGGCUCACCAAGACUACGAUAGGUAGGGGGUCUGAGAGGAUGAUCCCCCACACUGGUACUGAGACACGGACCAGACUCCUACGGGAGGCAGCAGUAGGGAAUAUUGGACAAUGGACGAAAGUCUGAUCCAGCCAUGCCGCGUGCAGGAUGACGGCCCUAUGGGUUGUAAACUGCUUUUAUAAAGGAAGAAACCUUUUUACGUGUAGAAAGCUGACGGUACUAUAUGAAUAAGGACCGGCUAACUCCGUGCCAGCAGCCGCGGUAAUACGGAGGGUCCAAGCGUUGUCCGGAUUUAUUGGGUUUAAAGGGUACGUAGGUGGAACUUUAAGUCAGUGGUGAAAGCCUCCAGCUCAACUGGAGAAUUGCCAUUGAAACUGAAGUUCUUGAAUAUGGGA